rnacentral:rRNA from 1 species
UGAUCAUAAUUUAAGGUUUAAUCUGCUCAAUGAAAAUUAAAUAGCUGCAGUAUUCUAACUGUACAAAGGUAGCAUAAUAAUUAGUUUUUUAAUUGAAAGCUGGAAUGAAUGAUUGGACGAGAAAAUAGCUGUCUCUUUACAAUUUUUUAUUGAAUUUAACUUUUAAGUGAAAAGGCUUAAAUUUUAUUAAAAGACGAGAAGACCCUAUAGAGUUUUAUUUAAUUUAGUUGGGGUGACUAGAAGAUUAGAAUAACUCUUUAAAUUUAAAAUCAUUGAUUUAUGAAUUGAAAAUCUUAAAUUAUAAAUUUAAAUUAAAUUACCUUAGGGAUAACAGCGUAAUUUUUCUUUAGAGUUCAUAUUAAAAGAAUAGUUUGCGACCUCGAUGUUGGAUUAAAAUUUAUUUUUGGUGUAGAAGCUAAAAAAAUUGAGUCUGUUC